GGUUUUUUUUUUUUUUUUUUUUUAGAUUUGGACUACAAACUAAAGCUGCUGGUAUUCAAGAUGGUAAAGUCACUGAUCAACUCCAGAACAGUCAAGCACCACCUACAUUCUGCUGGGACACAAGACGGACACACCCCUCCAGUGCCCCUCCCCACAUUGGCUGAGGCAUCUUGACUUCAACAUGAGCUACCAAAUGCACCACAGAUGCCACCAACCAGCCUGCAAGUGAGGAAGACCAUUGCCCAAAACACGCCCACUUCAGAACAAAGAACCCAGGACCAGAGUUGACAGGAGACAACAUUCCACCAGCGCACCAAGUAAGGUCAUAUCACCAUGGACGCACAACACAGACCAGUCACUUAACUGCACUGUGCAUGAGUGAAUCUGCACCAGAAUUUAACUGGUUGUUCUUUGGUGCACCCCCUUCACAAACUUUCAUUAAAAUAAUGAGUUGGCGUAAUGGCGUGAGAUUGACAGAUAGUUCUGAGCUUCUGUUUUACAGAUGCUGUCCCAGACCAUCGUGGUGAAGAAGGAUCUGAGCAGAAGGAUGCUGCUGCUGCUAUUGGUCUGUGUUGAUCCCUCUGAUCAGACUUAAAUUCAUCUGAGCGUCUGAGUCCUGCCGUGAACCCAGAUGCUGUCUGCUGACAAGCAAAGUCACAUCAGUGAAAGAUGAUCCACAGCAGGAAUGAGAUUUUGCACACCAAAAAGGUAAAGGUAUCAUCAGGAACAUGCAGAAGAAAGGUUUGACCUCCAAGGAAAUUCAUGUUGAUGUGGUUGCUGCAUUAUGGGGAUGAUGCUCAAGUUUUAUCAACAGUCCAAAACUGAGCAAAUAACUUUAAGAGGUGUACAGAGAGCCUUGAAGAUGAUCCAAAGUCUGGGCAACCUACAACUGCCAUCACAGAGGAAAACAAUGAUUCUGUUUACUAUUUUGUGGUUGUUCACUUAUGUAAUUUCUUUACUUAUUUUUUUUUUUAUCUACCAAUGGAUUCUAUUUUGGUCUCUGUUGAUAUAUCAGUAAGAUCACCCAAGCCCAAUAACUGGUUUUUCGUAAAACUGCAAUUUUGGGAUCUGAAUCCAGGGAUUAAUUCCCAUAUUGACCCAAAUAUAAGAAGGCCCUGAUUAUAAGACGACCACAUAUUUUUCAGAUAUGCUUUAAGACAAAGAUGCAGUCUUAUAUUUAAGUUAAUAAAGUACUUUUCUUGAGUAAUUUCACGUAUUUUAGGGGCAAAUAUAUUUGCACACAGUUGUAAUUUGGAUCUGAAUAGGUGGAGAUAAUUUAAAUGUUACAUUUGAAAUAAGCGCCAUUAAGUCCUAAACUGAAUCUGUUAAAUUGGUGCAUCGUGUGGUGAUAAUUGUGUCUGUGGCAUGUAUUUAACACAGAAAGGUUGGACAUUAUUAGAAAUAUGAAUAUGGUCAUGUUUCACCUCCUUAUUUUUGUGUAUUCAGAUUUUUUUUCUGGAUGAGAUCAUGAUAUGAUGGCUCCAGUUUUAAAGACAUAAAAUCAUUUCUUAAACUGUGUUCAUUGUUUUGUUAUUGGACUGUUGAAUAAAUUCCAAUAUUAAAAUCCUCUCCACAGCGAGCUGUACCCGCCUACAAAGUUGGUGAG